rnacentral:rRNA from 1 species
GAUGAACGCUGACAGAAUGCUUAACACAUGCAAGUCUUUGGCGAAGCUGUGCUUGCACAGCCUAGCCAAGGCGGACGGGUGAGUAACGCGUAAGGAACUUGCCCUGCAGUCAGGGAUAACAGACGGAAACGACUGAUAAGACCUGGUAAAGUCAGGCGGACUCAUGUCCAGCCUGAUGAAAAGUGAUGCUGCAGGAGAGCCUUGCGUCCUAUUAGCUUGUUGGUGGGGUAACGGCCCACCAAGGCGAUGAUAGGUAGCCGGCCUGAGAGGGUGGACGGCCACAAGGGGACUGAGAUACGGCCCUUACUCCUACGGGAGGCAGCAGUGGGGAAUAUUGGACAAUGGGGGCAACCCUGAUCCAGCAAUUCUGUGUGCACGAUGAAGGUUUUCGGAUUGUAAAGUGCUUUCAGCAGGGAAGAAAAAAAUGACGGCACCUGCAGAAGAAGCGACGGCUAAAUACGUG